AUGAUUGUCAAUCCAGAUUUUGACAGCAAGAAAAUAAAGUUAAAGUUAAAAAUUAUCAAAACGGAUGUUUUCUAGUUAACGGUAAUAGGAAUAUUUGCUGACUGAGGUGCUGGCUCCAAAAUAUCAUGGUCCAGCCGUUGGCAUUCAAGGCAACCUCUUCCCAACUCGAAAAUUCCAACCAGCAACUAACUAAAAAAAACCCACGGAUGGUCUCAAGAUGCACCUUCUGCUACUAAAUUCGAACGGACCUUUGCAACCGGAAGAUGUCUCAUCAUGUGCAACACGACUUGUGUCCAUCUAAUCGGAAGAAGCCACUCUGGAUGAUUGUGUUGUGUUUACAUUGUUUAAUUUCAACAGCACAUGUUUGGCUGUGCUUAAAAUAAACUUGUUUAUAUUGUGAUAUUAAAA